GCGCACUGCCACGGGCCCGGGGGACUGGGGGACCAGGGGCCUUGCUGCUGCUGGCGUCUGGGUUUGGCCCAAUCAUUGAAAACAGAACUGAAGAGGGCGGAGCAGGCUGGUGAAGGUGGAUAAAGUGGUGACCCCUGUUUGGCCCCACCUUGUUUUCCAUCUCUUCUAAUUAACCGGUCUCUGGGGUCCAUUCAAAUUCAGAUGCAGUUUUAUCUCAGCCCCCCAGCCGCUGGGGGCAGCCAGAGUAGGGCUGGGAUUCUUGUUGGCUCUGACACGGCCCUCAGGACCCCUCAGCCUCCCCCUGGGGCCCAGCCGAGCUCCAGCGACAGCCUCGGUGUGGGGGGAACCUUUAUUCUACCAAGGGCCAUUUGGCUAUUUAUGACAUCCUUCGCAGCCACACAGAAAUGAACCUGCUACAGACGUAUUGAAUUUCAAGUCCUGCCUGCACUUGUGGCAGAGCAGACCCAGCGGGCCAGACCUUCCUACCCUGAGCUAACGCCCUGUCCCGGCCUCUUCCUCCCUUGCGCUCCAGAGUCUCCAUGGCCUCCUGGUAGCUGCCGGCGACUGCUGGCUGACCCAGCCUGAGUACCUGCACCUCUGGCUGCUACCUGGAGAAAGUUCUCAGCCCUGAGAGAGGAGUGACCAGCAGCCCAAGACUCCCGGGUCGCCCUGAGGGCAGAAACCCACCUAGUACCUUGGCCUCCCCUUCCAGUCACCUGCUAAUGAUCUACAAGCUCCACAGGCCCAGCCUUCCCCGGGGCGGCCUGCGUGGGAGGGGUCAGCAGUGCGUCCCCCCCUUAUCCCUCCCUUCCCGGAAGGAUUUCCAAAGGAAAACGGAAGCAAGAUCCCCGUAGGCAGGGGUGAAGAUGGGUGAUGGAUGAGGGCCUCCAGGGACACUGGCUUUGUGUCCCCAGAGCUUGUGCAGGGCCCGGCGUGUCCCCUUGGUCUUCCUGACUCUGAGUGCCCCACGAAGGGAGGCUGCGCUGCCUCUCACUGGCUGCCACGCGGGUGGUCGCACAGCAGCACCGCGAGUGUGUGUGAGUGAGCCAAGCAGGAUCCAGGAGUCCUUUGAUGACAUCAGUGUGUGGCUGCUCAGGUCCUAAGUAAAUCCUCCUCCUGUCUCCAGCACUUUUGUCAGGCAUUUCACUGUUUGCCGGCAUCUCUGGGGACAGGAAACCGUGCAGUGUCUCGGCCUUGGACACCACCUUUGUUGUGGGGCUGCCCGAGGCCUCCACGUCAUUGGCCACAAACAGAAGCAUCUCUAGAGAUUCAGUGUCCAGCAGGGAGACUGCCCCGCUGGAGGACGGGAGAGUGCGAAUGGCUCAGGUCGUCCCUGGUCUCUGUGCGAAGCCUCCAGCCUGGGGGCAGAGACGCUGCGGCACCUGUGGCCAGGGCCCCCCAAGAGCAGCCGCGGCCUUGGGGAACUUGCUGUGGCAGACCUUGUGCUUGGGCUGGAGCGGGGAGACUGAGGCAGGACCACAGCGGGGUCCCUCCUGGAAGGCUCUGUGUGGUUGGAGAGGCAGAACCGGGAGCAGAUGCGUUCCCCAGGACAGGAGCAGCCUCAGGCCUCCGCAGCGGGUCGGGGCCACCACGGGAGCCACCGGAGCCUGAGCUGGAAAGGCUGGGAGUGGGGCUGGGCUUGGAGCCGCGGAGGAAGCGACAGGCCCCGAGGGAGGCGGGCGGGAAUGACUGCAGCUGCAGGUGAUAAACCGCCAGGCCGCUCGGUUGUUAACAUGUUGGGGUGAAUUGACCGCAGUUCUGGGCCCUGCAGGGGUGCCUUGCACCUGGGGGCCCCUCCCUAGCCAGCAGAUGAGCCUGGGAAGAGUGCCCAUCAGGCUCCCUGCCUCCUGCUGAGCUAUAAAAGGAGAGGGUUUCAGUCCAAGUCGGCCUGGAAGUUUCCACGUUGUCUGCGCCCACAGUAGUGUCAGAGCUGCCCACAGUGAACAAAAAGCAGGCGGGACGGCCCCUUAGCGAAUCUCCUUCAGGACUGACGGCACAGGACAGCAGCCGCAGCCGUGCUGGGUUCUGGCUGCCCCGCGUCAGAUCUCAGACCAGUCUAGUCUCGCCUCCUGUGUCGUCCCCACCCCACCCCCCACGUUCCCCCUCAGGUUUGGAUGCCAGGGGACAAACCUGAAGAGCCUGUAAGGGGGAGCUCAUGUCCGCCACUGCCCCCUGCCCCACCCCUAGCCCGGCCUGCUGUGCCUUCUGUCCACCUGUGUACACGCGGCAGCUGGCCGACCUGUGAGUUUGUUUUCUUUGAAUCAGUUCGGUCCGGCUGCGGGUUCCUGUUCCGUCUGCAGUCUGUUCCGCGCCCCUUUCCUUACGUUUGGUGCUGCGUCCCGGCGUGGUCGGUCCCAGGUCCCGGCGUGGCCCCGCCCCAGGUCCCAGGUCUCCCCGUCCCAGGUCCCGGCGUGGCCCCGUCCCAGGUCCCGGUGUCGCCCCGGCCGGGCGCUUCUCCUGUCCUGGCUGGGCGGUGAAUUUCCUCUUUUGCAGACUGAAAACAUAGAAUUAAACGAACUCCUCCCCGAGGGUCUCUCUAGAAGACUGUGACACCCUUGUAGUGUCUGACCCUGACGGCCCUUAACGUGUGUAAAAGGCACAGGAAUUUGCUCAGCUCCAGGGCUUUGACUUGCUGUGGGCAGCUCCCGAGAGAUGCCUGCAGGCAAAGCUCCCCCGUCUGGGCCCGGGUAGGGCGCUCAGAGCUGUGAGGUGGCCUUGGUUGUCCCAAACGGACUGUAGGAUCUGUCUUGCUGUGGGAGAGGCCUUGGUUGGAUGGGUUCCCUUCCCCCACGUGCCUCUCCACUCACCUCGGGCGCAGAACAUCCCCGACAGUUGCCCUGCCGGCUGGGGGAGGCCAUGGCCCGUGUGCUGUGUUGGCCUGCAGGACCUGGCCUUGUGCCUGGCCAUGCCUCCUAGUGGACUGAAGUAUGUUGUCUUUGUCAGGUACAAUUGAGCUUUGGGGCUUCGUUGUCUGUCUUUAAGAUUUAUUUAUUUAUUUGAAAGGCAGAGUGACAGAAAGGGGGAGAGAGAUCAUCUUCCAUCCAUUGGCAUUGGUUCACUCCCCAAAUGGCCACAACAGCUAGGUCUGGGCCAGGCCGGAGCCAGGACAGGAACCCCAUCCGGGUCUUCCACGUGGGUGGCAGGGGCUCAGGCACUGGAACCAUCGCCCGCUGCCUUCAUGUUUGCAGGAAACCGUGUCAGAAGCAGAGCAGCCGUCCCUCUCGUGAGGGAUGCUAGCAUCGAAGCAGUGCUUAACCCACAGUGCCACACCAGCCCCGAGGGAGCACACACCAGCCCCAGGGGUGCCCACACCAGCCCCGAGGGUGCACACACCAUCCCCGAGGGUGCACACACCAGCCCCGAGGGUAUACGCACACCAGCCCCGAGGGUGUACACACACCAGCCCCGAGGAUAUACACACACCAGCCCCGAGGGUGCCCACACCAGCCCCGAGGGAGAACACACCAGCCCCGAGGGUGAACACACACCAGCCCUGAGGAUAUACACACACCAGCCCCGAGGGAGCCCACACCAGCCCCGAGGGAGCCCACACCAGCCCCGAGGGUGAACACACACCAGCCCCGAGGGUGAACACACACCAGCCCCGAGGGUGUACACACACCAGCCCCGAGGGAGCACACACCAGCCCCGAGGGUGCCCACACCAGCCCCGAGGGAGAACACACCAGCCCCGAGGGUGAACACACACCAGCCCCGAGGGAGAACACACCAGCCCCGAGGGUGCCCACACCAGCCCCGAGGGAGAACACACCAGCCCCGAGGAUAUACACACACCAGCCCCGAGGGUGCCCACACCAGCCCCAGGGGUGCCCACACCAGCCCCGAGGGUGAACACACACCAGCCCCGAGGGUGUACACACACCAGCCCCGAGGGAGCUCACACCAGCCCCGAGGGUGUACA